GACGAACGCUGGCGGCGUGCUUAACACAUGCAAGUCGAACGGAAAGGCCCUGCUUUUGUGGGGUGCUCGAGUGGCGAACGGGUGUGUAACACGUGAGUAACCUGCCCUUGACUUUGGGAUAACUUCAGGAAACUGGGGCUAAUACCGGCUAGGAGCUCCUGCUGCAUGGUGGGGGUUGGAAAGUUUCGGCGGUUGGGGAUAGACUGGCGGCUUCUCAGCUUGUUGGUGGGGUAGUGGCUUACCCAGGCUUCGACGGGUAGGCGGCCUGGGAGGGGUGCCGGGGACCUGAGGCCUAAGAGACGCAGCAGACGGGAACGGGGGGCAACAGUGGGGAGUCUGACACAGUGGGCGGAAGCGUGAUGCAGCAACGCCGGGGGCGGAAAGACGGCCUUCGGGUUGUGAACAGCUUUCGCCUGAGAUGAAGCGUGAGUGACGGUAAUGGGUAAAGAAGCACCGGCUAACUACGUG
rnacentral:rRNA from 1 species